rnacentral:rRNA from 1 species
UGCUUAAAGCAUCCGUAGCUGGCUAAGUUAGUCCUUUGUUAAAUCCACCGAAUUAAUCGUUGGAUUGCGGGGGAUACUGCUUGGCUAGGGGACGAGAGAGGCAGACGGUAUUUCCGGGGUAGGGGUGAAAUCCUAUAAUCCCGGGAAGACCACCAGUGGCGAAGGCUGUCUGCUAGAACGCGCCCGACGGUGAGGGAUGAAAGCUGGGGGAGCGAACCGGAUUAGAUACCCGGGUAGUCCCAGCUGUAAACGAUGCAGGCUAGGUGUUUGGACGGCCACGUGCCGUUCUAGUGCCGCAGGGAAGCUGUUAAGCCUGCCGCCUGGGGAGUACGAUCGCAAGAUUGAAACUUAAAGGAAUUGGCGGGGGAGCACCACAAGGGGUGAAGCUUGCGGUUUAAUUGGAGUCAACGCCGGAAAUCUCACCGGGAGCGACAGCAGUGUGAAGGCCAGAUUAAAGGUCUUGCCAGACGAGCUGAGAGGAGGUGCAUGGCCGUCGCCAGUUCGUGCCGUGAGGUGUCCUGUUAAGUCAGGCAACGAUCGAGACCCGCAUCCUCUGUUGCAACUAGCCUUGUGCUGGGCACACUGAGGAGACCGCCACUGAUAAAGUGGAGGAAGGAGCGGGCCACGGCAGGUCAGUAUGCCCCGAAUCUCCCGGGCCACACGCGAGCUGCAAUGGCAGGUACAAUGGGUUCCGACCUCGAAAGGGGAAGGCAAUCUCGAAAGCCUGCCGUAGUUGGGAUUGAGGGUUGUAACCCACCCUCAUGAACAUGGAAUCCCUAGUAAUCGCGUGUCA